rnacentral:rRNA from 1 species
CCUACGGGGGGCUGCAGUAGGGAAUCUUCCGCAAUGGGCGAAAGCCUGACGGAGCAACGCCGCGUGAGUGAUGAAGGUCUUCGGAUCGUAAAACUCUGUUAUUAGGGAAGAACAUAUGUGUAAGUAACUGUGCACAUCUUGACGGUACCUAAUCAGAAAGCCACGGCUAACUACGUGCCAGCAGCCGCGGUAAUACGUAGGUGGCAAGCGUUAUCCGGAAUUAUUGGGCGUAAAGCGCGCGUAGGCGGUUUUUUAAGUCUGAUGUGAAAGCCCACGGCUCAACCGUGGAGGGUCAUUGGAAACUGGAAAACUUGAGUGCAGAAGAGGAAAGUGGAAUUCCAUGUGUAGCGGUGAAAUGCGCAGAGAUAUGGAGGAACACCAGUGGCGAAGGCGACUUUCUGGUCUGUAACUGACGCUGAUGUGCGAAAGCGUGGGGAUCAAACAGGAUUAGAUACCCCAGUAGUC